AUGAACGCUAGCUACAGGCUUAACACAUGCAAGUCGAGGGGCAGCAUUUUAGUUUGCUUGCAAACUAAAGAUGGCGACCGGCGCACGGGUGAGUAACACGUAUCCAACCUGCCGAUAACUCGGGGAUAGCCUUUCGAAAGAAAGAUUAAUAUCCGAUAGUAUAUUAAAACCGCAUGGUUUUACUAUUAAAGAAUUUCGGUUAUCGAUGGGGAUGCGUUCCAUUAGUUUGUUGGCGGGGUAACGGCCCACCAAGACUACGAUGGAUAGGGGUUCUGAGAGGAAGGUCCCCCACAUUGGAACUGAGACACGGUCCAAACUCCUACGGGAGGCAGCAGUGAGGAAUAUUGGUCAAUGGACGAGAGUCUGAACCAGCCAAGUAGCGUGAAGGAUGACUGCCCUAUGGGUUGUAAACUUCUUUUAUAUGGGAAUAAAGUAUUCCACGUGUGGAAUUUUGUAUGUACCAUAUGAAUAAGGAUCGGCUAACUCCGUGCCAGCAGCCGCGGUAAUACGGAGGGUGCAAGCGUUGUCCGGAUUUAUUUGGCGUAAAGCGAGCGCAGGCGGUUUCUUAAGUCUGAUGUGAAAGCCCCCGGCUCAACCGGGGAGGGUCAUUGGAAACUGGGAGACUUGAGUGCAGAAGAGGAAAGUGGAAUUCCAUGUGUAGCGGUGAAAUGCGUAGAGAUAUGGAGGAACACCAGUGGCGAAGGCGACUUUCUGGUCUGUAACUGACACUGAGGCGCGAAAGCGUGGAGAGCAAACAGGAUUAGAUACCCUGGUAGUCCACGCCGUAAACGAUGAUUACUCGCUGUUAUGCCUUGAUGGUGUAGCGGCCAAGCGAAAGCGUUAAGUAAUCCACCUGGGGAGUACGCCGGCAACGGUGAAACUCAAAGGAAUUGACGGGGGCCCGCACAAGCGGAGGAACAUGUGGUUUAAUUCGAUGAUACGCGAGGAACCUUACCCGGGCUUAAAUUGCAUUUGAAUAAUCUGGAAACAGGUUAGCCGCAAGGCAAAUGUGAAGGUGCUGCAUGGUUGUCGUCAGCUCGUGCCGUGAGGUGUCGGCUUAAGUGCCAUAACGAGCGCAACCCUUAUCUUUAGUUACUAACAGGUGAUGCUGAGGACUCUAGAGAGACUGCCGUCGUAAGAUGUGAGGAAGGUGGGGAUGACGUCAAAUCAGCACGGCCCUUACGUCCGGGGCUACACACGUGUUACAAUGGGGGGUACAGAAGGCAGCUACCUGGCGACAGGAUGCUAAUCCCAAAAACCUCUCUCAGUUCGGAUCGAAGUCUGCAACCCGACUUCGUGAAGCUGGAUUCGCUAGUAAUCGCGCAUCAGCCAUGGCGCGGUGAAUACGUUCCCGGGCCUUGUACACACCGCCCGUCAAGCCAUGAAAGCCGGGGGUACCUGAAGUACGUAACCGCAAGGAGCGUCCUAGGGUAAAACUGGUAAUUGGGGCU
rnacentral:rRNA from 1 species